UACGGAGGAUCCGAGCGUUAUCCGGAAUUACUGGGCGUAAAGGGUGCGUAGGUGGUUUCUUAAGUCAGAGGUGAAAGGCUACGGCUCAACCGUAGUAAGCCUUUGAAACUGGGAAACUUGAGUGCAGGAGAGGAGAGUGGAAUUCCUAGUGUAGCGGUGAAAUGCGUAGAUAUUAGGAGGAACACCAGUUGCGAAGGCGGCUCUCUGGACUGUAACUGACACUGAGGCACGAAAGCGUGGGGAGCAAACAGGAUUAGAUACCCGGGUAGUCCCUGAG
rnacentral:rRNA from 1 species